GGUAAGUGGAAACAUGCUAAUCAUGUUGCACCUACAGGAGAGGUACCAAUGGUAGAUCUUCAAGCACUCGAGGAGUUUAAAUCCAAGCUCAAAAUCUCAGAAGGCUCAUCUUCCUCCCAAGGUUCCUCUAAAGCUAAUUCCAGUUUCUUUGUCACUUCCCAAGGAGUUGGGGACAGGGAGACUACUUGGGACUGGGACCAUGCAUGAUGGUCUCUACUAUCUUGAUCAAGGAAGUGAUGAAGUUGCCCUUGCAACCUGCAUGUCUCCUAGUCAAGAAUUAUUUCUCUACCAUUGCAGGCUUGGACACCUCUCUUUUACCGCUUUAUCUCGUAUUUAUCCCUCUUUAUUUAGCUCAUGCCACAUGGAAUCCCUUGUAUGUGAUGCUUGUGAGUUGGCUAAACAUACAAGGAGUACCUAUCCUAGUAGGGCUUUAAGAAGCAACAAACCAUUUGAUGUUAUCCACUCUGAUGUUUGGGGACCCUGCGAGGUGCACUCCAUUUCUGGACACAGAUGGUUUGUAACCUUUAUCGACUGUUUUAGCCGUUAUACUUGGCUUUACCUAUUAAAAAAUAAAAGUGAUGUAUUUUCAGUUUUCA